rnacentral:rRNA from 1 species
AUUGAACGCUGGCGGCAGGCCUAACACAUGCAAGUCGAACGAGUGGCGGACGGGUGAGUAAUGUCUGGGAAACUGCCUGAUGGAGGGGGAUAACUACUGGAAACGGUAGCUACUACCGCAUACCAUCGGAUGUGCCCAUAUGGGAUUAGCUAGUAGGUGGGGUAAAGGCUCACCUAGGCGACGAUCCGUAGCUGGUCUGAGAGGAUGACCAGCCACACGGGAACUGAGACACGGUCCAGACUCCUACGGGAGGCAGCAGUGGGGAAUAUUGCACAAUGGGGGCAAGCCUGAUGCAGCCAUGCCGCGUGUAUGAAGAAGGCCUUCGGGUUGUAAAGUACUUUCAGCGGGGAGGCGUUACCCGCAGAAGAAGCACCGGCUAACUCCGUGCCAGCAGCCGCGGUAAUAC